rnacentral:rRNA from 1 species
UUCAACAGCUAUAUCACCCUGCAGCUCGGUUACUCACUGAAGCUAAGCAGGGCUGAGCCUGGUCAGUACCUGCAUAGGAGACCACAUGGGAAAACUAGGCUGCUGUUGGAA